rnacentral:pre_miRNA from 1 species
CAUUACCGAUGGAUCCUUACCGAUGUAUUUGGUACUAUUCAGUAAGGGUUUUCUGUAAUGCA